GUAGUCAUAUGCUUGUCUCAAA
rnacentral:misc_RNA from 1 species